rnacentral:rRNA from 1 species
UACGUAGGGGGCAAGCGUUGUCCGGAAUCAUUGGGCGUAAAGAGCGUGUAGGCGGUUCGGUAAGUCGGACGUGAAAUCCCUCGGCUCAACCGGGGAACUGCGUCCGAUACUGGCGGGCUUGAAUUCGGGAGAGGGAUGUGGAAUUCCAGGUGUAGCGGUGAAAUGCGUAGAUAUCUGGAGGAACACCGGUGGCGAAGGCGGCAUCCUGGACCGACAUUGACGCUGAGGCGCGAAAGCCAGGGGAGCAAACGGG